CCUACGGGGGGCAGCAGUGGGGAAUAUUGGACAAUGGGCGAAAGCCUGAUCCAGCCAUGCCGCGUGUGUGAAGAAGGCCUUCGGGUUGUAAAGCACUUUCAGUGGGGAAGAAAGCCUUGGGGCUAAUACCCUCGAGGAAGGACAUCACCCACAGAAGAAGCACCGGCUAACUCCGUGCCAGCAGCCGCGGUAAUACGGAGGGUGCGAGCGUUAAUCGGAAUUACUGGGCGUAAAGCGCGCGUAGGUGGUCUGAUAAGCCGGUUGUGAAAGCCCCGGGCUCAACCUGGGAACGGCAUCCGGAACUGUCAGGCUAGAGUGCAGGAGAGGAAGGUAGAAUUCCCGGUGUAGCGGUGAAAUGCGUAGAGAUCGGGAGGAAUACCAGUGGCGAAGGCGGCCUUCUGGACUGACACUGACGCUGAGGUGCGAAAGCGUGGGUAGCAAACAGGAUUAGAUACCCUUGUAGUC
rnacentral:rRNA from 1 species